rnacentral:rRNA from 1 species
AUUGAACGCUGGCGGCAUGCCUUACACAUGCAAGUCGAACGGUAACGCGGGGCAACCUGGCGACGAGUGGCGAACGGGUGAGUAAUGCAUCGGAACGUGCCCAGUAGUGGGGGAUAGCCCGGCGAAAGCCGGAUUAAUACCGCAUACGACCUAAGGGUGAAAGCGGGGGAUCGCAAGACCUCGCGCUAUUGGAGCGGCCGAUGUCGGAUUAGCUAGUUGGUGGGGUAAAAGCCUACCAAGGCGACGAUCCGUAGCUGGUCUGAGAGGACGACCAGCCACACUGGGACUGAGACACGGCCCAGACUCCUACGGGAGGCAGCAGUGGGGAAUUUUGGACAAUGGGCGCAAGCCUGAUCCAGCCAUGCCGCGUGCGGGAAGAAGGCCUUCGGGUUGUAAACCGCUUUUGUCAGGGAAGAAACGGUCUGAGCUAAUACCUCGGACUAAUGACGGUACCUGAAGAAUAAGCACCGGCUAACUACGUGCCAGCAGCCGCAGUAACAC